CCCCAAAGGAUGCGAGAGUGUAGCAGCGUUUCUCUCCCUCUCUGUGUAUUCAGUGCCUCUGCCAAAACCAGAUGGCACAGACAGAUAGUGUGGAGGAAUACGAAGGCCCAAAGCGAUCUCGGUGGCUAAAAUUCAGCAUAAUUUGGUUUAGGACUUUGUAGCCAUCGGUGCUCCAUACUCCUCGUUCCAUCACACAUCUCUUCUUGCUCUUCUCCUUCAUGCGAUGUGAUGUCACUCUAAUCAUUCCUUCCUCCAUUCCCCAUUCCCCCUUUCCCCCCAUUCCCCUUCUUCGCUAUGACCGCCUCUCAACUCAUCAUGCGAUGUGAUGUCACUCUAAUCAUUCCUUCCUCCAUUCCCCAUUCCCCCUUUCCCCCCAUUCCCCUUCUUCGCUAUGACCGCCUCUCAACUCAUCUCCGUUAGUCCCGACGAACUCCGCUUCCAUU
rnacentral:lncRNA from 1 species